UACGUAGGGUGCAAGCGUUGUCCGGAAUUAUUGGGCGUAAAGAGCGUGUAGGCGGCCCGGUAAGUCCGCUGUGAAAGUCGGGGGCUCAACCCUCGAAUGCCGGCGGAUACUGUCGGGCUAGAGUCCGGAAGAGGCGAGUGGAAUUCCUGGUGUAGCGGUGAAAUGCGCAGAUAUCAGGAGGAACACCAACGGCGAAGGCAGCUCGCUGGGACGGUACUGACGCUGAGACGCGAAAGCGUGGGGAGCAAACAGG
rnacentral:rRNA from 1 species